CAGCAGCCGCGGGAAAACGGAGGGUGCAAGCGUUAUCCGGAUUCACUGGGUUUAAAGGGUGCGUAGGCGGGCAGGUAAGUCAGUGGUGAAAUCUUCGAGCUUAACUCGGAAACUGCCGUUGAUACUAUCUGUCUUGAAUAACGUUGAGGUGAGCGGAAUAUGUCAUGUAGCGGUGAAAUGCUUAGAUAUGACAUAGAACACCGAUUGCGAAGGCAGCUCACUAAACGCUCAUUGACGCUGAGGCACGAAAGCGUGGGGAUCAAACAUGAUUAGAUACCCGCGUAGUCCCUGUCUCUUAUAC
rnacentral:rRNA from 1 species